AGCGAACGCUGGCGGCAGGCCUAACACAUGCAAGUCGAACGAACCUUUCGGGGUUAGUGGCGGACGGGUGAGUAACACGUGGGAACGUGCCUUUAGGUUCGGAAUAACUCAGGGAAACUUGUGCUAAUACCGAAUGUGCCCUUCGGGGGAAAGAUUUAUCGCCUUUCGAGCGGCCCGCGUCUGAUUAGCUAGUUGGUUGAGGUAAUGGCUCACCAAGGCGACGAUCAGUAGCUGGGCUGAGAGGAUGAUCAGCCACAUUGGGACUGAGACACGGCCCAAACUCCUACGGGAGGCAGCAGUGGGGAAUCUUGCGCAAUGGGCGAAAGCCUGACGCAGCCAUGCCGCGUGAAUGAUGAAGGUCUUAGGAUUGUAAAAUUCUUUCGCCGGGGACGAUAAUGACGGUACCCGGAGAAGAAGCCCCGGCUAACUUCGUG
rnacentral:rRNA from 1 species